rnacentral:rRNA from 1 species
GACCGAGGGGGCAAGCGUUGCUCGGAAUCACUGGGCGUAAAGGGCGCGUAGGCGGGAUGGCAAGUCAGUCGUGAAAUCUCUCGGCUCAACCGAGAAACGUCGGCUGAUACUGCCGUUCUUGAGGGAUGCAGAGGAGACUGGAAUUCCCGGUGUAGCGGUGAAAUGUGUAGAGAUCGGGAGGAACACCAGUGGCGAAGGCGACUACCUGGCCUGUUCUUGACGCUGAGGCGCGAAAGCUAGGGGAGCAAACGGG